rnacentral:misc_RNA from 1 species
GUGAGUCAUCGAAUCUUUGAACGCACAUUGCGCCCUUUGGUAUUCCGAAGGGCAUGCCCGUUCGAGCGUCAUUUCAACAAUCAAGCCUGGCUUGGUGUUGGGCCCCGGGGGUGACCCGGACCCCAAUGUCCCGCCGGCCGGACGUCCCGGAUCCCAGCGUGCAGGCAUUACGUUUCUGCUGAUGGAGCCGGGCGGCCGCGCCGUCAAACGUCGUCCCCCAAACGACCACGAAAAGGUUGACCUCGGAUCGGGUAGGGAUACCCGCUGAACUUAAGCAUAUCAAUAAGCGGAGGA